rnacentral:rRNA from 1 species
CACGUAGGGUGCGAGCGUUGUCCGGAAUUAUUGGGCGUAAAGAGCUCGUAGGCGGUGUGUCGCGUCGGCCGUGAAAACCUGCAGCUUAACUGUGGGCUUGCGGUCGAUACGGGCAUCACUGGAGUUCGGCAGGGGAGACUGGAAUUCCUGGUGUAGCGGUGAAAUGCGCAGAUAUCAGGAGGAACACCGGUGGCGAAGGCGGCAUCCUGGACCGAGAUUGACGCUGAGGCGCGAAAGCUAGGGGAGCAAACGGG